GUGCCUGGUUUGUGAGACCUGGCCAGGGCAGACAGAGCAGGUACUGGAAUGGCUGUAGGCUCCUUUUCAGUGCUGCUGUGCUGCCUGACAGAGGCUGGGAUAACUCUUCCCCACUCUCUCCAUCACCUUCACCACCCCACACUUCACUAGGAGGAUCCCCAUACAUACUUCAGUGGCAGUGAGAACCCACACUUGUGGUUCUCCUGUCUGAGGACUGCAGGUGAAUUUACAUAUUUUGGCAUUUAAAGAUCAUGCACUAGUCAUGUGACACACACCCCUCUUGCACACAAUCCCUCAGCCUCAGCGUCUGAGGGCAGAAAUGCUCCCACAGAUGACAGAAGACCAAAAAUGAAGCUCCUCUGGAGUGUAAGCUACAAAGCUUCAAGCUCUGACCACAUUGACAGAGACUUCUGCAGGAGAAAAAAUGUGGAAUCCCAGACUAAAAUCUCCCACAAUCUCCCAUUGGAGAGGUAAUGUCUUCAGCCUCCCAUGGAGCCAGGCCUGGCCUGGCUGGGAAUGCCCCUGGAAUGCAGCUGGCAGUGAGAGCCAGCUGGCCCCUUUCGUGCAGGUGCCAACAGGGAUUGCUGACGGGGCUUUCUGGGAGGGAGCUCAGCUGCUCAGAGCUCCCUUUGGUCUCCUAAAUGAAGCUCUUUUGCACAGCACCUGAAGUGAAGCUCUUGGCAAAGGCUUAUUUACCACGAUCAAGUUCCCUAUCUAUGCACCAACCUGCAUGUGCAGAAAGGGGACUGGAGGAAACUGAAGGUAAUUGUGAGACAUUUUUCCACCCAGAGCCUGGGAAGACAGACCUCCUCUACUAUACAAAUCCACAAACUCUUCUCAGAUAUCACUUCCUAGAUUUUUUUUCCAGGCCACAAAACCAUUUGAAUUAUUAUCAGGUAACAUGUUAGGUAAACAGCUCGUAAGUUUAGUUAAUGGACAGUGUUAUUUGAGAAGCAAAUGAUGCCAGCUUCAGAGUCCAGGCACCCCCAGGUUCAGAUGCUGGGACCCUCAGCUUGUUCUGUCAGAGCUCCCAGGUACUGCAGCCCUGCAGACAGAGCUGUCUCUGUCCCAGCAGAUCUGACAGCUGGAAAUACUAGCAGCACUCAGAGACUGGAGAGCUGGCAAAUGUGAGACAUGGCAGGAAAAGCUUUAUAUACUGAGCAGAGGCUGGGAAAAACCUUGUGAGCUCUGGUCACAGGUCAGAGAACAGAUGAAAGUGCAACAAGUGAUGGACACCACUGGAGUUCUGUGUGUACUGAGGUCUAGAGGUUGUCACUACAGAUCAGGUAUUUCCAGCAGUUUUUUUCUUUAUGCAAGUUGUAAAAUAUUUCCCAAAAGUACUGGUUAGGUGACAGGAUAAUCUGCUCUGAAUCUGUUCUUGCAAGGACAGGGCUAGAUCCAUCAUGACCACAACUUGCCAGCACUUCAUACAACAACUGUGAUCCCGUGUGAAUCAGACAGUGACCGUGAGCUCCAAGAGCAGAGUCCAUGAAGAAGGCAUGUCUUGGAGCAGGGUGAGGAAUGCAGAGGCGUGUGCUGCAAGGUGUGGCAGGUAUGUGUGAGCUGUUAAUGACUGUGCUGAAGAAAUCUUGGUGAUGCAGAGGUGAAGGAGUCCAAGAGCUGGAGGAGUCCACAACCCAUGCUGUGGGAUCAGCUGAAGGACUGAUCUGCAGCCAUAGCAGCUGGUGCAGGUUCCUGGCAUGAAAAUGCUGCUCAGCAGCAGCAAUUCUGAAUCUAACAUGCUAGCAGCAGAUGUGGGCCUCCUUCGGUAUUAUCUUAAUUUUCAAAUACCUUAUAAUGCUUUGCACAGUCUUGACUUUCAUUUGAGAUGUCACUGGACAGGGUACUCAUAGCUACUACCACCAUUCUCUGAACCAGCCUAUCUGAAGGGGACCCCCUCAGCUUACAAGUGAGGAAAGGCAGCAAAAUUAGGGCUUUAAUGGAUGAAACUCUGGAUGGGAUAUGGAUGAAACUGAGAAAUUUAAUAGAUGAAAAGUAGCAAAACCACUGACUAGCAUUUGUAAAACUGAAAUACAAAAAGCAUUAAGUUCUGCAACCUGAAAAGUACAGAGUCUGUCCAGUUGUAAGUCAAAGCUGUGGCAGGAUCUGACCCUGCCUGCUCAGCCCUGAGACUGAGCUGCCAGGCUCUCUUUCCCUAUGUUAUGGGCUCCAGCUGUGGCACACCAAAAGGGACCUGCACCUUCCAGGCAUGAACCCUGCUCUGCCCACCCGCAUGGCCUCACUGCAAAGAGUGGCUCUGAAUUAUGGGUGGGCAACACUGCACCAAAAUUGCUUCCCCCCAGAAAGUUUGGUGCCAUUCACCCUAUUUAUUCCAUGGGCUUUUGCAGCCCCCUCGAGGUGCCAGGCACUGGGGAGGCCUGUACCAUGCUCCUGAGAGCAGUCAGUGCUUCACCCUGGGAACAAGGUGCUCCUUGCCAGGGAAGUGACCUGUGGGCACAAGUGACCUUUCCUAACAGCUGGCAGUUGUCCCACCCAGGCUUCACCUGCAUGUCCAGCAGCCAAAGGAGGGAUGGGGAUCAGGCAGUUAGCAGGUGACAGUGUGAUCCUGGCCCCGUGUCUGACCAGCACUAUGUGACCAGGGAUGCCACCAAGAAAGGAAUUCCAUCUCAUCUAGAUCUUUGAGAUUUUUCCAUCCUAAACACUUGGCUAGGCCAUUGUUGUGUGGAUUAUUUUCUUUUUCUGUGUGAUAACUGAAGAUGUUUACUACCAGGCAGGAGUUUUGGUUUCUUAGGAGUGGCAGCCAGCCUCAGCUCCUGGGAGCAGACAGCUUUAGUGGCUGCCCUGGGCAUCUGCUGACCAUGGACCUUAUUCUUUCAGGUGUCCUGUUGCUAACUCACAUCUGCUGGUGCAGAGGGAUUGAAUAUAUGGUGCCAACAGCCUCUGGGGGGGUUUAUGUCCCCUCCACGUACCCCAGUUCACUGUAAGUGUCUGCCCUUCCCUGCCCAGAGUGGUGGGAAAUGGACACAUCAGGGAAGCCUGUGUUUCAGGCUGUGCUCUGUUCUGGGGCCAUGCAACAAGGGAUCUUUACUGGAAAUGGGAGGUAUGUGCCCAGUGUCAUAACUGCCAUUACAAAACAAAGAGCUGCUCUGGUACAGUCAUUUGUGCUGAUGAAAGCUAGGAAAUGCCAUCCUGUCCAUCUCUGAAUCACAUCCUUCAGCAGAUGUGCAUGGGGCAAUGCAAAGGAGGUUCUUAGUACUAUGUAUGUCAGUAAUGAAGUUUCCUGGGAAUAAGUGAGGGGUCUGGGAGCUCAAGGUAUUUGUCUCCUAAGUUCUUUUGUUCCCAUGGGUUGGUCCUUGGCAAGCUGCUGUACCACACCAGGAAGAGAGCACUCAGUCAUUCCUGAGCAGGAAUUAUGCAUAUCCCGACCCACAGGCAGCCAGGAUAUCAUCACAGCAUUGUCUGCUGUGUCCCAGCUUUUCUGAGCUGAACAGAUGUGUGUCAGCUGAGGAGAGGGACGCUGACCUUGCAUUGGCCAGUGCUGUAACACCAGAAUUGAACUCUAAAUGUGUGCACUUGGAGGUAUUCUUUUGGUGAGAGCUUGUACAUCUUCUGCUACUUACUUCUUCAGGCUGGCUCACGUUUAAAUCUGAUUGUUGCAAAAGAACAAGUCUACUCAGCCAAAACAGUUAUGGGAGGGAGAGAGGAAUCAGUUUCGGAACUAUGAAUCACUUGAACCUCAAAAAUUCCUGAAUGAAGAAGAUGGGGCUCAAAGAUAACAUAAAAAAUGUGAUCAGUACUGGAAACAACCCAAGUUCUGUGUCUCCUAAGUGGGUGUCUGACCACAAGACUUCCCAUCUUCAUCUAACUCAAGAUGCUUGCUCAUCAUUCUUGUAAAAUAUGCUGCUCUCAUCUCUUUUGUUCACACAACAGAGAAACUUAACUUUGUGAUGUGGGAAGGAAGCAAAACAGCAAUUCCAUGUAUUACAGUGAAGUCCUAAGUGAACUUAGUGUUGCAGCUAAUGUUCUAGAAUAACAAUUUCUUGGUGGAAUCUAGCAUAGACAGUGAUUACAAAAUCACCUGCUUUGGUGAAGAAAGGAAUUAUACUGACUGGUUUAAAAUUGGCUUCUUGGCCUGACUAAACAGCUUUAUCCACUGAAGAGAUCACAAAGAUUUUUAUCACAGGGGAUUAAGGCAUUGAUUUACAUCUGACAGCAAAUUAAACUGAGAUGAGUGAUGCUGUAACCAUUUUGUUUCCUGUCUUGGCUCUCUGGGACUUGGCUAACCCCGGAGGGGAAAUGCUGAACUCAGCAGGGCUGCCAGCCCGGCGCAGUGACCCUCACUGGCACUGCCCGUCA